rnacentral:rRNA from 1 species
UACGUAGGCAGCAAGCGUUGUUCGGAGUUACUGGGCGUAAAGGGUGCGUAGGCGGCUUUUUAAGUCUGGUGUGAAAUCUCCCGGCUCAACUGGGAGGGUGCGCCGGAUACUGAGGGGCUAGAGUGUGGGAGAGGAAAGUGGAAUUCCUGGUGUAGCGGUGAAAUGCGUAGAUAUCAGGAGGAACACCGGUGGUGUAAACGGCUUUCUGGACCAUAACUGACGCUGAGGCACGAAAGCGUGGGUAG